rnacentral:tRNA from 1 species
GGGGGCGUGGCGCAACUGGCAGCGCACCUGCUUUGCAAGCAGGGGGUUACGGGUUCGAGUCCCGUCGCCUCCA